GAACUAUCAGUUUAAAGGCAACUUCAAAACUACAAGCUUUCUGGAACCACCUAGCUGGUCCUAAAGCCAGUUUGUACUGUGUCUUCAAUUUCUUUAGCAAAAUUUCAUUUUUGGGCUCCAACUUUCAAAUGGGUCAUCAGCUUAGCAAAUGUUGCCGAUUUCUCUAAACCACCUGAAGUCAUCUCUUACCCCCAGCAAAUAGCUGUUACAGGAACUGGACUUAUUUGGUCUCGCUACAGUAUGGUAAUUACCCCGAAAAAUUGGAAUCUUUUCAGUGUCAAUGUUGCAAUGGCUGCAACAGGCUUAUAUCAAAUAUCGUGCAAACUUAAGUUUGUUCAAAAUCCUUAUCUUUUUGUGUUAAUUUUGCUGUAGCUAUAAGACAUUGGAGCU
rnacentral:misc_RNA from 1 species